CCGAGAGAGGGGCUUCGCGCUCCCGGGGGUUUCGGCCUCCACCUCUUCACCCAUUGAGUACCUACCUUUGUUGCUUUGGCGGGCCAUGGGGUUCGCCCCACGCCGGCCUCCGCGCUGGUGAGCGCCCGUCAGAGGCCCUCGAAAUUCUGUUUACAAUGACGUCCGAGUUAAACACAAAUAGUUA
rnacentral:misc_RNA from 1 species